GAGGGUGAGAGUAGAAAGAUACCAAGUUGGAGAUGUAAACAGCUUUGGAUCAUCCUGGGCUCAGUCUAUAAGGAAGAGUGUGCUAUGAAACCUCCACUCUCAUAAUUCCACAUGGAGAAACUUCCUUACAGCCAUAGUUCUGGCCUCUUACCUGGACAACUGAGGAAUCUGGUAGCUCUAAAUACUGAUACCAGAGGAGGGAUUCCUGAUCCACGUGACUGAAAAGGGUGUAUGUAGAGCACAGAUAACAUGAGGGUCCACCUGCUGUGAGGUGACAAUUUUAUCCUCCAGGAACUCAUGAGAAAUGUCAGCUGUGUGGUGGAAGGAAAUGACAGGAGUCCCACUGAAAGCAGAGAAGGAAGAAUUUCUGCUAGAGGAAAGAUCAUUAAAGUGUGCUCUCCCUCAUGCCAAGUUGGCUUCCCAAGGAAGAUUCAUGACUGGAUUAUGUUCCUAGGAAUACUCAAAAGGGAGACUAUUUGACAUCAUAAAAGCCUUACUGCAAGAAUACCUAUGGCUGGCAAGUUCCCGUGAAUACUGAAUGACUAUUGUCGAAGGUGGAAAACAAUGGGGAAGACAAGCCUGGGAAGGAAAUAGAGGUAAGGAUGGGGCAGGAUCAUAAUAAGCUGUUUGUUCAUGUUAGAGUUUGAAUUGUCUUUGCAAUACCCAGGCCGAGAUGAUGUCAUCCCUAAGUGCAUCUAAUGAUACCUGUCUGACAGCCGUGGUUCUAUGGAUUACAGGAGAUAGUGUCUAUAAAGUUCAGUUCCUGUCACCUAAAAGGCUCUCAGUCAAGGUGAGAAGACUGCUUGUGUAUGACAGUAAGUAUAUGUGUGCACAUAUAAACUUGCGUCCUUCUUUGUAAAGAAUCAAAAUAAUCCUCUCCACUCAUAGUUAAACUCAGCCAGUAUCAAGUUAACUAGUUCUUGUGCUUGUUAUUAACCUCAGAAGUCCUGAGUAAUUAAACUCCAAAUACAAGAUAGACAAGAUAAUAUAUAGCCAACUUGUGUUAUGCUAUUUUAUCUCUGCAUUCGUUUGAACAAAGUUCACCGAGUCAUUGUAAAAUGGCAUCCUGGUUCUAAAUAAUUACGGUAUAUUAACUUUAAUUUAAUUAUGGUGCAAUGAAUAGUAGACCUUUUAAAACUAUGUAGCGAUUUGCCUCAGUGAGUUAGACUAAUCAGCAUACCUCAUUACAUUCAACACAUAAAGGGAUAUAUGUCUCCCACUUUAUAACACGUUCUUUAAAUGAGCUCCCACAGUGCUAUCAAAACUGAUGCUCAAGUGUUUGCAGAGCUGGGAGUUUUCCUUUUAAAAUAAAAGUCCUCAAGUGUAAGGUUUUCAGGGAAUAGCUGUAGAGAAAAAAAAAACGUUGAAUUGAGAAACAAGCUCUGUCUUGGCAGCAUUUAGAAUCUGUGGGAGCCACAGAACACUGGUGCCUUGGUGGUUUUUUUUUCUGACAGGUAACAUAAAGAUGAUGGAUGGAGUCACCACUAUCUCUAUGUGGAUGGAAAAAGAAUAUUGGGGAAUUCUGAAUGAAGAUAACAUUUCAGUGGAUGUUCAUUGAUGUUCCUUUGCACUUCUACAUAAAAGACUUUGACAAGAAGAGAUAUUAUGUGUAUCUUUUUUGAAAAUAACAUCACCAAAGUAGUAUUAUGGAAUGAUUGAUAAAGUUAUAAUCAGCUAAAUCAAGAGUUUUUAAAAAUUGAAUGAACAGCUUUAUUCUCAAGGAAAACAAUUGCCAACGAAUAAGAAGAGUUUUUAAGAUGUCCUCAAAUUCUCCAUCUGACUAAUCAUACCAACCACCUAAUCAAUGGUGGGAAGGGCAGAGGGCGGAGGGAGCUAAGAUCUGAGUUCCUGAGUGAAAUUGAAAGAAGAUAAAUUAGGUUGAGUAAUUGGACAGUGAGAACUACUGGUUAUAUGAUUUUCAUCUUUGUUGACUUAACGGUAGGGACAGAAGAUUUGGGACAGUGAAAAUACAGGCUCUGCCUUGAAAGAAGGCCAAGGCUUGAGACCCAAAUGGCUCCAGCCCACCCACAAGAUGGUGCCAAAUAAACUUGCAGAGUUUAAAUGCAUGACGUACCAGAGCAAUUGGGUCACGAGUAUCAAAUAGCAGUUUUAUAAUCCCUGGAAUAUUAAACAGUGCUGUGGCUUUAUUUAUUUACCAAUGAAUUGCAGGAGCUGGUGAGGCAUCUGUGGUUUGGAUAAAAAUACAUCGUUGCCCUUUCUUAUUCUAUUAUCCCACAUCCUUUAGGCUUUGGUUGCUGGAGGCUUCCAAAGUCGCUGUAGUGGGAAAAAGCAUUCUUCCCAGGGAGACACAGAAGUAGGGUAGGGGCAACACAGGCCCAGAAUGCCCCGCCAAGGAGGCUCGCUGGCUUUCUGCUGCUGGAUGUCUUCCAUGGCCACCCCUAAAGGAUCCCUGAAGGUUUUCCCCCAAUCUCAGAAACAUUUUUAUUUUUCAGACUUAGAAGAACUUAAAAUGGAAAUUGAUUUUGCCUCUCUACCAUUAUCUGGUCUUGUACGGCUUAGUGGAUUUUACAAAUAACAGACAUAGUUAAGGAGAGCUUAGUGGGAAAAGCCAUAUUUUUCCAGGAUUAGAUAAAGUUAGGACUCAUCUAAGUUGGUAAGUAUAUAUUUAAAUAGGAGAGGCAUUCAUUAAUUCAGCCGGCCUUGAUUUUCAGUGUUUCAUUUUCUGGCUUCUUUCUUCCCAGCUCUGUGCCUAAGCCAGGUGGAUAGAGGCCGUGUCUCUCUUCUCUCCCAGCUCUCUUGAGUGUCUUCAUUUUUCCUGGUGAGAAACAAAACACAUUCCUUUCAUUCUCCCCCUGGAUUCUCCAGGAUUUUCUCUUGGUUCAGGCUGUGUUGUCCUUUAAGGAGUAGGCUGACUUUCCAUGGGACCAUGCUCCCCUCGUUGCCUCUGAAUUUCUUACUUUCUUUGGAUAUUUUCUGUCAGCCUGGAACAUUGUCCUGUCUUUAAGUCUUUUCUUGCUGAUUCUUUCUGAGUCUAUGUCCAGUUAAUAGACUCCAUAUUGUUUUUGCACCUUUUCAAAUUAUAUCAGAUCUCAUUUCUGUUUCAGCAGUUUUCUGUUAGCUUUUCAGUCUCCACCAACACCGCUUCUCUCCCCUUACACACACAC